AACCCGCCUGCACGAAGCCGGAGUUGCUAGUAAUCGCGAAUCAGAAUGUCGCGGUGAAUGCGUUCCCGGGUCUUGUACACACCGCCCGUCACACCAUGGAAGUUGGGGGUGCCCAAAGCCGGCAAGCAAAUAUGCUGUCUAAGGCAAAACCAAUGACUGGGGUGAAGUCGUAACAAGGUAGC
rnacentral:rRNA from 1 species